rnacentral:rRNA from 1 species
AAGCGGUGGAGCAUGUGGUUAAUUCGGAGCAACGCGAAGAACCUUACCAGGUCUUGACAUCCCUCGACAACCCGAGAGAUCGGGCGUUCCCCUUCGGGGGGACAGGGUGACAGGUGGUGCAUGGUUGUCGUCAGCUCGUGUCGUGAGAUGUUGGGUUAAGUCCCGCAACGAGCGCAACCCUCGACCUUAGUUGCCAGCAUUCAGUUGGGCACUCUAAGGUGACUGCCGGCUAAAAGUCGGAGGAAGGUGGGGAUGACGUCAAAUCAUCAUGCCCCUUAUGACCUGGGCUACACACGUGCUACAAUGGGCGGUACAAAGGGUCGCGAACCCGCGAGGGGGGAGCCAAUCCCAAAAAGCCGCUCUCAGUUCGGAUUGCAGGCUGCAACUCGCCUGCAUGAAGCCGGAAUCGCUAGUAAUCGCGGAUCAGCAUACCGCGGUGAAUACGUUCCCGGGCCUU